AUGUAUCUGUAUUUGUGUACAUCGUGUAUGACAACAAGGAUGUCAUCUACAAAGAUGUCAUCACCAAACUGUAGCUGAGAACUCUUCAGAAAAUGCCUGAGAUGGCUACUCUGAAAAUGAAUAUGAUUAUUUUGCAGAAGAGUAAGUUUCAGUCUGCAAAGAAAAUGAGAAAAAGAUAAUAGUUUAAUAACAUCAGUUUUAGACAAUAAGUAAUGGAUGAAGUGAUCAAAGUAUAAAUAAAUUAAAUAUUAAACUUCAAUCUAGAAACAAAUUGAAUUAAAAAAUGUUGUAUUCACCGAAUGGAAGGAAGCUGCAUAAAAUGAGGACAAAAGUGGUAACACUGCAUGCCCAGCAUGAUGGAUCUCUCAUCCAGAUAAAGCAGAAAAGUGACAUUACAGAUGCUGCCUUAAAACCAUGCAGGCAUCAUGCAAGGUUGAAAAGAUGAAAUAUUUAUCAGUCUUCAUAUUUACAUUCCUACUAAUAGCUGUGGGAUUUUUUCAUCUAUGGA
rnacentral:lncRNA from 1 species